GGGUGUGAGGAAGAGGCCAUGGGGUCGCUAUGCAGCUGAAAUACGUGACCCCUGGAAGAAAACUAGGGUUUGGUUGGGUACAUUUGACACUCCUGAAGAAGCUGCACUCGCUUAUGAUGGUGCAGCUCGCUCUCUCCGUGGAGCUAAGGCCAAAACCAACUUUCCCGCUCCAACCACUGGUCUCUCUCUCGACCUCAACGUCCCUUCUGAUUCUCACCAUCGCUGGAGCUCAACUGCUGGUCACCGCUUCGCCCUUGGUGAGUUCCUGCAAACUGGGGUUCUUAAAGAGAUUAACUUCAACGGAGAAGCCUCAGGGUCUGUGAAAAAUGAGAUUGCUGUUGCUGCUGGUGGCGUUGGUCCUCCGGUGCCGGAAGCUGGUGUUCAGCCGUCGUUUUUGGGGAUUGUGAGACGUGGGUUACCUAUAGAUUUGAACGAGCCUCCACCGUUGUGGCUGUGAUAUUAUUUACCGACUGACGAUGAGCUCUGUGCUCCUGUAGGACAUUUUCCGGCUGGUUUUAACCUUAUUGCUUUCUUUUAAUCUCCCUUUUUCUUACUUUUCAUCACCUUCAUCUCUGUUUUAAAAGGGAGUAAGAGUAACAUCAAAUCACUAUUA
rnacentral:misc_RNA from 1 species